rnacentral:lncRNA from 1 species
CUUGAGAAGGAGAGCUUGAACAUCAACACCGGAAGUGACGAGAGCGUAGCAGAGCGAGAAGGAAAUGAGGGAAAGGGUGAUGGAUGUUGCUAGGUAAGCACCACCGUACUUUGCAAGCAACUCCUUAGCUUCAUCUGUCUUUGACUUCUUCUUCUUCUUCGUCUCUCCAUCACUUUCUUCAUCCUUUGAGGUCAAUAUCUGUAUUGUUCAUUCAAAAUUGUAAAUAUAUGAUUCAAGAAGAGGAAAGCAAAAGAUUGAAGAUAAGAAAGUCACCUUCCAUAGACCAACUUCGAGUCCAUAUUUCUUGGUAACUUCCUCCGGAGACGGCGGGGAAGUGUUCUUCUCCUCGGCUUU